UGCUGUUGAACUAGGCUGUUGUGUAUUUGAAAUGCUGUUGUGUAUUUGAAAUGCUGUUGAACUAGGCUGUUGUGUAUUUGAAAUGCUGUUGUGUAUUUGAAAUGCUGUUGUGUAUUUGAAAUGCUGUUGUAUAUUUGAAAUGCUGUUGUGUAUUUGAAAUGCUGUUGAACUAGGCUGUUGUGUAUUUGAAAUGCUGUUGUGUAUUUGAAAUGCUGUUGAACUAGGCUGUUGUGUAUUUGAAAUGCUGUUGUGUAUUUGAAAUGCUGUUGAACUAGGCUGUUGUAUAUUUGAAAUGCUGUUGUAUAUUUGAAAUGCUGUUGUAUAUUUGAAAUGCUGUUGAACUAGGCUGUUGUGUAUUUGUAAUGCUGUUGUGUAUUUGUAAUGCUGUUGUGUAUUUGAAAUGCUGUUGUGUAUUUGAAAUGCUGUUGUGUAUUUGAAAUGCUGUUGUGUAUUUGAAAUGCUGUUGGAGAACUAGAUGAUUGUGUAUUGGAAAAGCUGUUAAAACUUAUCUCCAAUGUUUUGCCAUGUAUGAAGCCCGUGGAUAAUCGUCAUUUAUUCACGUAAUAGUCUCCCCCCUACGAGUUAUCUUUCCUUUAGAAUUGAGCAAAUUCGCUUGCAUUCUUUUGUCUGCACUGUGGGUGUGUGUGUUUGUGUGCGUAAUACUUGUAUAUGUUGCACCUGUGAGAGGUGGGUAUGGAAAGUGUGUGUGUGUGUCUCGUCAUAUUACUAUGUCUGUGGUGUGUGUAUGUGUGUGCGUGUCAACCUACAAGCACGCCAGGGGAGACUAUAAAUUAACACCCAUUAUCUGGCUUCGAUUGAUAUAUACGUAAGUGACACCAGCUCUCCUCUUUUAAAAACGUGUUAUUCUAGUGUAAAGGUCUAUGUAGAAUGUUGUUCACGGGUCGAGGUUCCAAAUAGAUCUAGAUCUCUCAACCUUGUAUUUUGAGGCUCACUUGACUAGAUAAUAAGAUAGCAAACCCACAAAUAACAAAGCCACAGACCUAUAGAAUAUAGGUAUGGGUAUAGAUCUGGGUCUGUGUACAGACUCCUAUUGUAGUUCUACUGUUACACUUUUCUUUCUUCUUCAUUGAAGAGCGUUAAAGUCGUAAAACCGGAAACACUCGUGAAAGGUAAAUAUUGUCUAAGCACACAUUGAGUGUCGAGGCAGAAGGAUAUCCCUCCCGCCCCUCUUAGAGAGUUAUAUCAGCUUGUCAAUUUCCUUUUUUGUUAAAAAUCGAUAUAGUCUUGUCACUGACAGCAGCACUUUGUGGGCUGGGUGGGCAAUCACUGCCCAAUCACUUGACCACUUCACUGGAAUUCUUUUGGAUGUUUCACAGCUGACACUGUUGA
rnacentral:sRNA from 1 species